GACGAACGCUUGCGGCGUGCUUAACACAUGCAAGUCGAACGGAAAGGCCCUGCUUUUGUGGGGUGCUCGAGUGGCGAACGGGUGAGUAACACGUGAGUAACCUGCCCUUGACUUUGGGAUAACUUCAGGAAACUGGGGCUAAUACCGGAUAGGAGCUCCUGCUGCAUGGUGGGGGUUGGAAAGUUUCGGCGGUUGGGGAUGGACUCGCGGCUUAUCAGCUUGUUGGUGGGGUAGUGGCUUACCAAGGCUUUGACGGGUAGCCGGCCUGAGAGGGUGACCGGCCACAUUGGGACUGAGAUACGGCCCAGACUCCUACGGGAGGCAGCAGUGGGGAAUAUUGCACAAUGGGCGGAAGCCUGAUGCAGCAACGCCGCGUGCGGGAUGACGGCCUUCGGGUUGUAAACCGCUUUCGCCUGUGACGAAGCGUGAGUGACGGUAAUGGGUAAAGAAGCACCGGCUAACUACGUGCCAGCAGCCGCGGUGAUACGUAGGGUGCGAGCGUUGUCCGGAUUUAUUGGGCGUAAAGGGCUCGUAGGUGGUUGAUCGCGUCGGAGGUGUAAUCUUGGGGCUUAACCCUGAGCGUGCUUUCGAUACGGGUUGACUUGAGGAAGGUAGGGGAGAAUGGAAUUCCUGGUGGAGCGGUGGAAUGCGCAGAUAUCAGGAGGAACACCAGUGGCGAAGGCGGUUCUCUGGGCCUUUCCUGACGCUGAGGAGCGAAAGCGUGGGGAGCGAACAGGCUUAGAUACCCUGGUAGUCCACGCUGUAAACGGUGGGUACUAGGUGUGGGGUCCAUUCCACGGGUUCCGUGCCGUAGCUAACGCUUUAAGUACCCCGCCUGGGGAGUACGGCCGCAAGGCUAAAACUCAAAGGAAUUGACGGGGCCCCGCACAAGCGGCGGAGCAUGCGGAUUAAUUCGAUGCAACGCGUAGAACCUUACCUGGGUUUGACAUGGAUCGGGAGUGCUCAGAGAUGGGUGUGCCUCUUUUGGGGUCGGUUCACAGGUGGUGCAUGGCUGUCGUCAGCUCGUGUCGUGAGAUGUUGGGUUAAGUCCCGCAACGAGCGCAACCCUUGUUCACUGUUGCCAGCACGUUAUGGUGGGGACUCAGUGGAGACCGCCGGGGUCAACUCGGAGGAAGGUGGGGAUGACGUCAAGUCAUCAUGCCCCUUAUGUCCAGGGCUUCACGCAUGCUACAAUGGCUGGUACAGAGAGUGGCGAGCCUGUGAGGGUGAGCGAAUCUCGGAAAGCCGGUCUCAGUUCGGAUUGGGGUCUGCAACUCGACCUCAUGAAGUCGGAGUCGCUAGUAAUCGCAGAUCAGCAACGCUGCGGUGAAUACGUUCCCGGG
rnacentral:rRNA from 1 species